GGAGCUUGCUCCCUGAUGUUAGCGGCGGACGGGUGAGUAACACGUGGGUAACCUGCCUGUAAGACUGGGAUAACUCCGGGAAACCGGGGCUAAUACCGGAUGGUUGUCUGAACCGCAUGGUUCAGACAUAAAAGGUGGCUUCGGCUACCACUUACAGAUGGACCCGCGGCGCAUUAGCUAGUUGGUGAGGUAACGGCUCACCAAGGCAACGAUGCGUAGCCGACCUGAGAGGGUGAUCGGCCACACUGGGACUGAGACACGGCCCAGACUCCUACGGGAGGCAGCAGUAGGGAAUCUUCCGCAAUGGACGAAAGUCUGACGGAGCAACGCCGCGUGAGUGAUGAAGGUUUUCGGAUCGUAAAGCUCUGUUGUUAGGGAAGAACAAGUGCCGUUCAAAUAGGGCGGCACCUUGACGGUACCUAACCAGAAAGCCACGGCUAACUACGUGCCAGCAGCCGCGGUAAUACGUAGGUGGCAAGCGUUGUCCGGAAUUAUUGGGCGUAAAGGGCUCGCAGGCGGUUUCUUAAGUCUGAUGUGAAAGCCCCCGGCUCAACCGGGGAGGGUCAUUGGAAACUGGGGAACUUGAGUGCAGAAGAGGAGAGUGGAAUUCCACGUGUAGCGGUGAAAUGCGUAGAGAUGUGGAGGAACA
rnacentral:rRNA from 1 species